rnacentral:rRNA from 1 species
UACGGGGGGGGCAAGCGUUGUUCGGAAUUACUGGGCGUAAAGGGCGCGUAGGCGGCCAACUAAGUCAGACGUGAAAUCCCUCGGCUUAACCGGGGAACUGCGUCUGAUACUGGAUGGCUUGAGUUUGGGAGAGGGACGCGGAAUUCCAGGUGUAGCGGUGAAAUGCGUAGAUAUCUGGAGGAACACCGGUGGCGAAGGCAGCUCUCUGGGACGGUACUGACGCUGAGACGCGAAAGCGUGGGGAGCGAACAGG